GGAAUACGAGCAUAAUGACAAUAAAGAUAACAUACAUUUGUUAUGUCGUGAUAAUACAUUCUUGUUGAUACGUUCGUUUUUAUGUCGUCUUAAUACAAACGUAUUAUCAUGUCAUAAUCGGAAAACAUAGAAAAACCCAGAAUCGAAAUCCCAGGAAACCCAGAAAAUAUAAAGAACACAAAGAAUAGAACCUAUUGGUUUUGG
rnacentral:lncRNA from 1 species